rfam:Salmo salar isolate Sally breed double haploid chromosome ssa10, whole genome shotgun sequence.
UGAUAACAAGUUAGUAAGUCGCUCUGGAUAAGAGCGUCUGCUAAAUGACUUAAA